rnacentral:rRNA from 1 species
GACGAACGCUGGCGGCGUGCCUAAUACAUGCAAGUCGAACGCAGUGGGGACGGGUGAGUAACACGUGGGUAACCUCCCAUCAGAGGGGAUAACACUUGGAAACAGGUGCUAAACCGAUACUGAUGGAUGGACCCGCGGUGCAUUAGCUAGUUGGUGAGGUACCGGCUCACCAAGGCCACGAUGCAUAGCGGACUGGAGGGGCUGAGAGGACACAAUGGGAAUGAGACACGGCCCAGACUCCAACGGGAGGCAGAAGUAGGGAAUUGUCGGCAAUGGACGAAAGUCUGACCGAGCAACGCCGCGUGAGGGAAGAAGGGUUUCGGAUCGUAAAUCGUUGUUGUUAGAGAAGCGGUAUCUAACCAGAAAGCCACGGCUAACUACGUGCCAGCCGCCGCGGUAAUU